rnacentral:sRNA from 1 species
GGACGUAAGGGUGACCUGGCCAUGACAUCUGCCACUCUACUGAUUGCCAGGGUUAACUAGCUGACCUGGCGGGCUUUAUGAUGUCCUCCUCUGUGUCACUGCUCGACAACUGUCCUUCCCAAAUCUGUGUGCUCAGGUGUACCCUCACCAGCUGAGGGCCCUUCUUUAAUUGAGCGCAUGCAGAUACUGCUCCCUGAGGAAGCCUCCUCACAAGCUCUUAAGAACCAUGCAGCUCGGGGUGGGGGGGGGGGGGGAUAGGGAACUUUUGGGAUAGCAUUUGAAAUGUAAAUGAAGAAAAUAUCUAAUAAAAAAUGU